rnacentral:lncRNA from 1 species
AGAAGAUGACCGGAAGUCCGUUUUAAGUUUUCGUUGUUUUCCUUUUUUCGGUUAGGCACGUGUUUUGCAGCGGUUUGAGAAGUCGGACUUGAAGUAUUUUAAUCUAAAUUUCAAAAUGUCCAACACUAGGCUUCAGAGUUUUCGUAGUUUUUUAACAGAGCGCUUUACUACUGUGGCUGUUGAGAUAUUUGGAGAAGUACAAACGAUUGUAGAGGCGUACUCCGAGGAAAACAAACGACUGCGGAACAUACUGCACAUGGUCGUCAACCCCGAGAUAAAAUUAUCAAGGAUAGAUGUUGAUCAGUACACUGGAGCAACCACUGUUGUCAGGGAGCAGCCCCCUGAGCUGAACGCUGUGGUGAAACAGGAAAUAUCAGAACCGCUGGCAAAAAAACCUAAAGAAGAACAAAUUGAAUGUGACAUAAGUUGGAAUUCUGAGCAAAAACCUGGGCUGGGGGGAACUGACAACAUGAUUACCCCAGAUUGUGUGAAAGAUGACCUAGAAGAAAGAGAAAUAAACAGAGCCUCCAUUGGUAACCACAUUCGUGUCGUGGAGUACGACUCUGACAAUUCAUCUACUCUGUCAACUGAGGAAACAAAUGAUGAAUGUGAAGACAGUUUCUUGGACUCAAGGUUGGUCACAGAUAGUUUGACUCUAUCCAGGAGUGAAGAAAGCACAACUAAAAGUUGGGAACCUCAUAUGCACAGUACUAGUACACAGACAGAGACAUCAGAUCAUCCCCUGCAGAAAACCAUGCUAGAAUUACCAAGGAUGAUGCCCUGCAAGCCAUUCAUGGCUGUAAUCCCUGACAGCCAGUCCUUCUUGGCAAGAAUCACAGAAGCCUACAAGGAUGUUCCUGAUGACAAUAAGCCACUGAUAACCAAAAUGGGCCUUACAGCUGAUCUGGAAUUGGUGGACUGUGCUUUUGGCAAAGUCCCUAAAGGUUGCCCUCUGUCCUACCAGUGCCCUGUGCCAUCAAGCAAGGAUUACAAGACCUAUGAUGAUGCUCCCCCUCAACCGCUGCUUCCCAUGACUUAUAACAGACUGGAGCCAAUGCCGCCUCUUUCUACCCUGAGUGCCAGCGAGCAGGAACAUGUGAAUGUUAUGCAGAUCACCUGGGAGGAAUCACACAGUCUGGAGCACUCCACACGUGCAUGCAAGAAGACUGUACAGGAGCUUCAGAGACUGCGCUUGACUGGCCGUUUCAAGGAGAUCUGCAAGCUUAAACCAGAACAGAGCAAUGUGGACCAUCUGAUAUCCAAAAUACAGAAGGGAAGCACCAGGUGCAAGAAUACACAGAUAGAGGAGGAAAUGAAAACUGAAGCACUUCGCGAGUACUGUCAGAAUUUGUGUGUCAACUGGUACCCCUGUGGUUUGGUUAUCCACCCUAACGCUCCAUGGUUGGGGGCGGUGCCUGAUGGGUUGGUGUACGACCCUAACGAGAAACAUCGUUUCGGGCUAGUUCAUGUCAAAUGCAUUGGGUUUUCAAGCUUAAUCCAGUGUACAUUCCUGACCUGCCGGGAUGGAGUUUUGCAAUUGAAGACGGGCCACUCGUUGUAUUGGCACAUCCAAGGACAGAUGAUGGUGACAGGCACGUCAUGGUGUGAUCUAUUUGUGUUCUCCAAAGAAGACCUUCUGGUUCAGCGUGUCUACAGAGACACAACCUUAAUUAAAGUCAUGGAAAAGAACUUGCAUGAUUUCUUUUUCCGUCACUACCUCCCACAUCUGUUCAAAACUGAAGUCUCUCCGUGAGUGUGUCAUCGUCCCACCGUGGUCAUACACUACAUGUUGUUCAGCUCAGGUGCUUGAUUUUGUUUUCAUUGAUUUCAAACCAGAAGGAUAUUUGAUGUUUUCUUACUGUGAAAGUUUCACUGGCAUUAUUAAGUCAAAUGAAGUUUUGUUUUGGUUUAUGUACUCUUUCAUUGUUCUGACAGUCAAAGCUGCCCUGUUUCUGGGCUAUAUCUACUUUAAAGAUUAUUUUUUAAAUAGUUUACUCUUCAUCUUCUUGAUUAUUCAAUUAAUAAAAAUUUUGAAAACAUUUAUUUUCAGUGUCAUGCAAGUAAACCAGAAAAUUUGGACCAAGGGAAUACUUGUUUAUGAAUAAAUGAUUGACUACUUAAAAAGUGUAGUGUUGAAUUAAUCAAUUUCCAAUCAAUCAAACAAUUCAGGAGUUUGUUUCCUAAAUCUGAAGCAUUAUUUCUGUUUGGAGCCUCAAACUCCAGCUGUGGUUUAGACAUGGUCUAGACAAUCAUUUUUAUAGAUGCAGUACCUGCAUAUUUAUAGUUGUUGUUAGGAUGAAAUAUUUCCAUGCCCGGCGCCCAUUUGGUUUUAUGAAGGUCAGAA